rnacentral:rRNA from 2 species
ACUAAUCCUAGCCCUAGCCCUACACAAAUAUAAUUAUACUAUUAUAUAAAUCAAAACAUUUAUCCUACUAAAAGUAUUGGAGAAAGAAAUUCGUACAUCUAGGAGCUAUAGAACUAGUACCGCAAGGGAAAGAUGAAAGACUAAUUAAAAGUAAGAACAAGCAAAGAUUAAACCUUGUACCUUUUGCAUAAUGAACUAACUAGAAAACUUCUAACUAAAAGAAUUACAGCUAGAAACCCCGAAACCAAACGAGCUACCUAAAAACAAUUUUAUGAAUCAACUCGUCUAUGUGGCAAAAUAGUGAGAAGAUUUUUAGGUAGAGGUGAAAAGCCUAACGAGCUUGGUGAUAGCUGGUUACCCAAAAAAUGAAUUUAAGUUCAAUUUUAAACUUGCUAAAAAAACAACAAAAUCAAAAAGUAAGUUUAGAUUAUAGCCAAAAGAGGGACAGCUCUUCUGGAACGGAAAAAACCUUUAAUAGUGAAUAAUUAACAAAACAGCUUUUAACCAUUGUAGGCCUAAAAGCAGCCACCAAUAAAGAAAGCGUUCAAGCUCAACAUAAAAUUUCAAUUAAUUCCAUAAUUUACACCAACUUCCUAAACUUAAAAUUGGGUUAAUCUAUAACUUUAUAGAUGCAACACUGUUAGUAUGAGUAACAAGAAUUCCAAUUCUCCAGGCAUACGCGUAUAACAACUCGGAUAACCAUUGUUAGUUAAUCAGACUAUAGGCAAUAAUCACACUAUAAAUAAUCCACCUAUAACUUCUCUGUUAACCCAACACCGGAAUGCCUAAAGGAAAGAUCCAAAAAGAUAAAAGGAACUCGGCAAACAAGAACCCCGCCUGUUUACCAAAAACAUCACCUCUAGCAUUACAAGUAUUAGAGGCACUGCCUGCCCAGUGACUAAAGUUUAACGGCCGCGGUAUCCUGACCGUGCAAAGGUAGCAUAAUCACUUGUUCCUUAAUUAGGGACUAGCAUGAACGGCUAAACGAGGGUCCAACUGUCUCUUAUCUUUAAUCAGUGAAAUUGACCUUUCAGUGAAGAGGCUGAAAUAUAAUAAUAAGACGAGAAGACCCUAUGGAGCUUAAAUUAUAUAACUUAUCUAUUUAAUUUAUUAAACCUAAUGGCCCAAAAACUAUAGUAUAAGUUUGAAAUUUCGGUUGGGGUGACCUCGGAGAAUAAAAAAUCCUCCGAAUGAUUAUAACCUAGACUUACAAGUCAAAGUAAAAUCAACAUAUCUUAUUGACCCAGAUAUAUUUUGAUCAACGGACCAAGUUACCCUAGGGAUAACAGCGCAAUCCUAUUUAAGAGUUCAUAUCGACAAUUAGGGUUUACGACCUCGAUGUUGGAUCAGGACAUCCCAAUGGUGUAGAAGCUAUUAAUGGUUCGUUUGUUCAACGAUUAAAGUCCUACGUGAUCUGAGUUCAGACCGGAGCAAUCCAGGUCGGUUUCUAUCUAUUUACGAUUUCUCCCAGUACGAAAGGACAAGAGAAAUAGAGCCACCUUACAAAUAAGCGCUCUCAACUUAAUUUAUGAAUAAAAUCUAAAUAAAAUAUAUACGUACACCCUCUAACCUAGAGAAGGUU